ACACCCCAACCGCUCAUCCCCAGCCCCACCCCAGAGCCUGUGCCCCCAGCCAGGGCCCUCACACACUCCUACACCUCAACCCCCUGUCCCAGCCCAGAACCCCUUCCUGCACUCUGAACACCUCAGCCCCAGCAUGGUGCCCCCUUUUGCACACAAAUCCCUGUUCACUGGCCCCACACCAGAGCCCGCAUCCCCAGCUGGAGCCCUCACUCCCGUGCACCCCAACACCCUGCCCCAGCACAGAGCCUCCUCCUGCACCUUGAACCCCUAAUUUCUGGCCCCAGCCCAGAGCCCAUACUUCCUCCCACACCCCAACCCCCUGCCUCAGCCCGGAGUCCCCUCCCAUAGUCCAAACCCAUCAGCUCCACUCCUCAAACCAGAGCCCCUUCCUGUAUUCUAAACCCUUCAUCCCUGGCCCCAUCCCAGAGCCCUCACUGCCUCAGCCCAGAGCCUGCACCCAAGCCAGAGCCCUCCCACACCCCAACCCCCUGAGCCAGCCCGGUGAAAAUGAGUGAGGGUGGGGAGAGGGAGCAACAGAGGGAGGAAGAAAUGGAGUGAGCGGGGUGAGGCCUUGCAGAAGGGGCGGAGCAUGGGUGUUCAGUUUUGUGGGAGUAGAAAGUUGGCAACCCUAGGUGUAAGCUCCACCCUGCGGUGAAGCUCCAUGUACAUUACACAUUUCUGCCAGCUGUGCACCAUGGAGACAGCCUCAAGGAGACAUCAGACAGGUGGGCUGAUCUGAGCUCCAAGGCUGAGGGCCAAGCUAUGCCCCUAGUAUGUUCUCUGCAUACUAGGGGCAUAGCCAUGGCCCAGCUAUGCCCCUAGUAUGCAGAGAACAAGCAAAUAGUUCCCAAACCAACCCCCACUCUCCAAGUCCUGCACACAACACUGCAUACAACACUCUCCAAGUCCUGCUACCUCCAAGCACAGUCUGCAGCUAUGCCCUCUGAAAUGCACAUUAGCUGCCUCUGUUUGCAGCAAGCACUCAACACCUAGCUAGGGGUUGAGAGCACCCCCCCCACCCCUUCCAAGCCCCAGCCAUCCCUGGGGCCUGGCCUUUGUACAGUGCCAAGCUCUUCCCAGGACAUGGACAGCUUUAGUUCCUCCUGCACCAUCAGGCAUUGGUCCCUUCUGACUGCUCCCCAGCUGGCAUUAAGUGCUCGUGGCAGCAGCUACUGGAGAAGGUACCCCGGCCCACCGCUAAGGCAAAGCCAGGGUUGGGUGGGUACUCUGCAUUCCUUCGCCCCCCCACCCCCCCAUAGCUGGGGUCAAGUUGGAAGGGAGAGCGCUAGAUGAGGAGCUCUGAGCACCUCUCAGGCCUGGUACAAGGCAGCCCAAGGUAGAGGCUGCUCUGGUCAGCCCAGGGACGUUGGCUCAGCCACAUGGGUGGGCUCAGAGCUGGCGUGGCUUGCAGUUGUUAACCCCUUGUGCAGAUGGAAUCCCAAGUGUUCCAAGCCAUGUGGUGCACUGGGUCAAGGUGAGAUUUGGCCCAAAAGCAGCAUGGAGGAGACCUGUAGUUCCCUGCCCUUGGAGACUGGCCUAGAAGCAGGAGAUCCAGCCGCUAUUCCAGCUCCAUGACUAGGAGGCACCUGCCCACUCCCUGAUGACCCUGCUAGCUUGGGGAGAUACCUGGUGGUCUUUGCCAACUCCCUCACCUUCAUUUAAAAAGGUACCAGAGCCACAGGUCUGAUGGCCAAGGAGAGUUUAUUUUGUUAACAGCUCGACAAGCGGGGAGCCAGGUGCCCAGUGCUGCCAGGUGCCCAGUGCUGCCAGGCCCAAGGACCAUGAGUUAGGCCCGGAGCCUGCCAUUCCCACACACCUGCAAGGAAAGAGACACAUCAAAAGUGGGGCCAGCCCUGGGGCUGCAGGGCCUGCAUGGGAGGAAGCAGCACAAUGAUGGGCACUGCCAGGCUGGUGGGGUCCAUGGGACCCAAUCUCAGGGCUCUGCCAUCUGCACUGGGUUACCGAGCGCCUGCUGAAGGUCAGGCCGUGACAUGGGGCUAGCUUUAUGACUGCACCUUGGAGCCCAGAAUGGGCGACUUAGCACCCCUGCCCAGCAGGACCCGUGCCCCAGAGGAUGCUGGGAGCCCCACCAAUAUGUGUCACUCCUGACUCCUUGCAGUCAGGGAGCUGGUAGGCAAGGCUCAUGGUGAGGGGGCGACGCACGUGAAGAGUUCCAGUGCAGGGAGAAGGAAGGUGGCUUGCUCUAGGAGACUGGCCAAUCAACCUGCCCACACCCUGGCUGGCCUCCCCUGCUGCCACGCAGAUCCAAAGGCCUGGGCUUCAGCUGCUCUCCUCCUGAGGCUUACAAAGCAAACACCAGGGCAUGGAUCAGUGCAACCCUCUGUGCGCCUAACUCUCCAGGAGUCCUGCCUGAACAGGGCAGAGCCCAGGGGGGCUCUGGAAGUGUCUACACUGUGGCUGGGAGUGAGCCACCCAGCCUGAGAAGAGACUUGCGCUAGAUCCCCUCACUACUGUGCUAAAAAUAGCUGUGUGGCCACUGCAGCUUGGACAAGAGCUCCGCUCUCACAUCACUCGACCCACUGGCUCUGUGAGCUUGGGGGCUAGUCUCCGCUGGAGCUGCAAUGGCCACACAGCGAUUUUCUAGCAUGCUAGCUCGCUCCCAGCUGAAGUGCAGCACAGGCAGACAUACCCUGCCCCACAUGUCCCCGGUUCUCUGGGCUGGGAGCCACCUUCCCAGGCCACAGAGAGGUCUGGGCACCAAGGAAGGCCUGCCCAUUGGGUGGGCGGAUCCCAGCAAGUGCCCUGGGACCUGGGGAUCACUUACCUCAACCCACAGGUCGGUGGGGCACUGAUACCGCAUUCUCCCCCAGCUGCUGCUGGGCUGAGACCCAGAGCAUCUCUGUCAAGGGGUAGCGGCAGCGCAGAGUCAGCCUGCAGAGGGAGACGCUGGCUUAGCCAGGUGGGUGGGAACUUUGGAGUUCUCAAGCCAGUUGACACUGGCUGCAGGGACACCCCUCCCAGCCCCAUAGCUGGCCUCACCUGUACCGCGAGUCCCGGGUGAUGAUGGGGGAUGUGGGUGGGACCCCCUCAGGCACAAAGGUCACCUCAUUCUCAUACACCAGGUAGCCUCCUUCAAACUGUGCAGGGGAGACAGGGUCAGAGGGCAGACAGCAGCGAGGGAGGCUGGGAUUCCUUGGGCUUCCCCCACCCCCGGGAGCUCAGCACCCAAAUCUUAGUGAAAUCCAGCCUGCUAGAAAUGCCAGCCCCAUGGAGUCACAGCUUCUGGUGCACUCCCAGGACUACCCACCCCCUUUGCAUUAGGGGCACACGCACACACAUCUCCCUGGGCGAUGGGGCUUGGCUCAGCUAAAACACAGGGUCUGAGGAGAGCGAAUCCAGCCAUCUGGGCUGGCCUCUAGCUUUGGUGGGGGGCCUGCACCCCAGAUAGCUUGCUUUACUGACACCCAGCCUGCACCACCACCCUGCUGCCACCCCAUGGCAAAGCCCUGCCACCAUCCCAGUGGGCCCAGCAUCAGAGCAUGACUAAGCGAGAGCUGCAGAGCCCUACAGCAUUAGACCCACCCUCCUGUCACCAGAUGCUCCUCCCCAGUCUCAGCCACCAGCUGCCAGCCCUCCCCACCCCCAAGAGGAAAGUAUGUGCCAUGGGGGGCUCACCCGCCGUGUGGUCCCACAGGAGGCCAGAGAGAAGGAGAAGAGGGCCCGUGAGGAAUCAGAGGCCACUGGCCCACAGUCUGGGUCCUUCAGGUGGGUCCGGCGUGGGUCAAGGGCAGGCUUGGUGUCCCGGCUCAGCACCAUGGCCACCAAGGUGCCGUUGGGCAGGCACACUGUGCCCAGGAAGGGUGUGGGGGGGAAAGAGUCAGGAUCAGACCCAGAGUUCCCACCUUCACCCCUCAUUCACCCAGCAGGAGCUACUGGGUCAGCAUGAGGCUCUCAGACCCCUCUGCUGCCCCACAAAUCCUAUGCAUGGUGUGGUCAGUGCAGGAGGGAUCUGUGGCCGGUGUGGAUAAUCCCAGGUGGGGCAGCCAUUCCCCAUGGGGUGGGGUUGGGGGCAAGGCUACAGUCAGGAUGUGAGGCCGAUGGCUGCGUAGGAGGUGGGUUAAGGAAUCUCAGCCCAGGCCCCACUGGCUGAGCCAGAUCUAGAGGAAAAGGGAUGCCUGUGCCACUGAUCACUUUACCCCAGUGGAAUCUAAGGCCCAGAGGCACCCCCCUACCCACCCCCACAGGGGACAUCCCAUGCUUCUGGCAGGAGGUCUCCACCCAGGCACUCACCCAACAACUGCCCAGUGGGGAAGGUGCAGACAACGGCGAAGGAAGCCAGGACUGAGCGAGUCUUGUUGUCCCGCAAAGAGAAAUCCAGCCGAGCCGUCAGCCCUUGGAGGGAGAUGCUCUGAGGGUGUGAGAGUGACUCGGGGGCUGAGCACCAGCCCUGGCACCAGUCAUGAACCCUCCCUGCCAGGUCCCAGCAGAGCCCAAGGCUUUGGAGAGGUCAGGCAUCACUAGUGCUUGGGCUGGCUCCUGCCCCCAUGCGUCCUGAGAGCAGGAGGGGCAGGGGCUACCCACAAGGCCUUGCUGGGGAUGACACAAGGCAAGCUGGGACCAAGGAGGCAGCCAGCCAGACCAGUCCAGAACUCCAGCGAGAGCUAGAUCAGUGGGUUAUCCCAGUUCCCAGAGUGCCAGGCCCCCUACCCAUUCUGUGGGGCAGCAGCCCCUUCACCCCUAUUCUUGGAGGAACCAUGCUGUAGGCAGAAACUGGCUGCUUUGUGGGAUUUGGAGUCACUUCCCUCUCAGAGGCAAUGAGUUUGCAUGUUGGAUUUUGCCCAUCCUCCAUGGCACAGUGGGGCAGGGGGAGGUGUCACCCAACUAUGGGUGCCACUACCUGGGCCUUGGUGUGGAUUUGCAGAGACUGUGGCCUAUCAUCGAAAGCCAGGCUGGGGAGACCAGCCAGUGUGAGAGAUGCCUUCUCUUAGAAUCUCUCAGGAUACUGGUGAGAGAGCUACAGGAGUAGGUGGCUAGGCUGAGAAGCAUCCGUGAACACAAGGAAUUCCUUGAAAACUUGCAUAUAGAGAUCUCCAAGGCUGAGGAACCAAUCCAGCUGGAGACGACUGCAGUAGCACCCACCAGGGCAGAAGGAAACAGCUCCUUCACAGAGAGAAAUCUGGCUGCUAGUUACUUCCGGCAGCAGGCAGUCCUCCACUCUGGCUCCCAACCCCCAGCUGUAGACAUGACAAACCAGUAUUCUGCCCUGGCAAUAAAGGAUGAGGAAUCCCCUGCAAAGGUGAAGGAGGCCAAGGCUGCAAGGAUCACAACCACUACUCCGAAGAGGAAUCGAAGGGUGGUGAUGGGUUACCUUGUGGACAGGGGAAAGCAGUAGCAGAGCUUUGGAUACUGUCUCACAUGACCCUCUAGAGAAGUAUAGCCUAGAUGAGCCUACUAUAAGGAUGGAGAAGUCAGGAGGAAGUGACUGGCUUUGACUUCUGGCCACGUUCCUGAAGAAUGGCUCCAUCCCAGGGCAGCUGAGUUUGCUGACUGAAAGCUCACCCAUUGGAGUCUGAGCACCUCAUGUGUUUGGAAAGUGAUGGGAACACGUGGAUGUCCCCAGUUAAAAGUAGGUGGCAGGCAGCCUUUUUUCUUGCUCCCUCCCAGGAGAACUGCAACCCCCACCAGAACAUUUUCCAUUCUCCUUCCCCACUGCUCUUGCCCCUCCCCACCCCCAGCUCCCCCACCUACCUCAUACACCAGCCCAGCAGCCAGAAGGGGGACAGCCAGGUGGAAAUGGCGACCAUCAUCAGACACUCUGUAACUGUGGGGGGCAGCCAGCUGGCUCAGGGGCCGCUCUCCGACAUAGGGAACCCAGAACCGGUCCAGUGUCCCGUGGGUCAUCAGCAGGGCCAGCGCCCCAGCCUCACAGGAGCCCUGGAAGCUGGGGGGCACUAACAGGAGCAGAAGGGGUUAAAUAUGGGCCCAGUCACUCUGAGCACUCCAGAGCCAAGGGCUCAGCCAGGCCCUGCACUGGGAUGUGGGAAGCUGCAGGCCAUGGCCAGGAGGGGUAGGGGCACUGAGCCAGGAGUGGUAGGGGUCCCUGAGAGCCACAGGACCCCCAACACACACACACCUGCCACUCAUGCCAACCCCACCCAUGCCCCUGACCUCCAUGUUUCCCCCCACUCACACCAAUCCCAGGCCCUGCUUGUCCAUGCCACCUUGCUGCACUCACAGUGCCCCAGCCCAUGCCCACACAGCUACCCAUGCCCCUCCCACCACCCCCAGCCUGUACAUAAGAACAUAAGAAAGGCCGUACUGUGUCAGACCAAAGGUCCAUCCAGCCCAGUAUCC